GAUGAACGCUGGCGGCGUGCCUAAACAUGCAAGUCGAACGAGAACCCAUUCUUCGGAUUGGGGGACAGUGGCGAACGGGUGAGUAACACGUUGGUGACCUGCCCCGAAGCGGGGGACAACCACGGGAAACUGUGGCUAAUACCGCAUGUGCUCCAGAGGGUUAGAGGACUCUCGAGUAAAGCUCCGGCGCUUCGGGAGGGGCCUGCGGCCUAUCAGCUAGUUGGUGGGGUAAUGGCCUACCAAGGCUAAGACGGGUAGGGGGCGUGAGAAC
rnacentral:rRNA from 1 species